UUUAUACAGAUAUGUAUUAUAGAUAUAUAUUUGUAAAACUGAAAUCAGAUGAAAUAAAUGUUGCCUGAGGUUUUAAACGUUUAAUAAAAACAAUAUUUCAUUUGAAAAAAAUGUAAGAUAUGUAAAAUUACACAUUGAUCAUUUUGCUGGUCUUGUAUCAUAAAACGUGUGGCCCGAAGAGCACGUGUCCGGUAGAGAUACGUCACUUGUGUUAGGAAUCGUUUUAUAACCUAUCACAGUAAAGGAACGUCCCAGUAUAGCAGCCGAAGAAUGCCGUGGAAGUUUUUGUACAAAGUACAAUUGAUCUACAAUUGAUAUUUUCCGCAAUACUUAUCUGGUGUUCGGUCAGGGUGUCCCAUACUCAUGAUAUUUAUGACAGUGGAAUGGCGUUAGUAAAUCAAUUACAAAAAUUUUCGAGAUCAAUUCUCGGUAUUGCAUCAAAUUAUUCAAAAUAUACAAGCAACACAACGUUGCCCUUUUUGCAGGCAACAAGAGGAAUAUCGACCACGCAACCACUUUCAGAAAAACAAGAGAGUAUAACAUCUAGAAAAAUAACAUAGUAUUAAUAGAAUAGUAUUAAUAAGAACAACAUUGACAGUGAACAACUAAAAAUAUAACACUGUUAUAAAUAUAUGAUAUACGAAUUUUAUUUAUGUAUUAUUAAGACAAGUAUAUCUUAUUUUUAAAUUAUUUCUAUUAUCAUAAGUGAUACAUAUAAUUAAGAGUAAAUAUAACGUUUGUUAAAGCAAGUGGAGAGAGAAUCAAAGCAAAAGGGAAAGUAGGAGAUACUAUAUUAGACAUAGUAGUAAAUAAUGAAAUUGAUUUAGGUGGAUAUGGUCACGGCUAGGCUGUCAAAUAGUAAUGUCUAAGGAACUAGAUGGAAUUGAGGUAAGAGUUCCAUCAACAAUUAAUGAUGCAAGAGCAUAACUGAAAUUAUCUAUAGGUUUUUGAAAAUUUGUAUACAAUGUUAUACAUCUCUUGUUAAAAAACCCUUGUUAUAAUUAUUAAAAUAUUGGUAUUAAAAAAAUAUAAUAAAGAAUCGUGUUUAAAUGUGAAGCUUAUAUAUAUACAUAUGUUAUAGUAUAAUUGCAAUUUUGAUAUUUGUACAUUGCCAUUGUAAAAAGCCUAUCCAAUUAUGAAGAAAAUAUAUCUUUUAUUUUUAAUAUA